rnacentral:rRNA from 1 species
GGGGGGGGGGGGGGGGGGGGGGGGGGGGGGGAGGGCGGGGGGGGGGGGGGGGGGGGGGGGGGGUGCUCGGGGGGGGGGGGGGGGAGGAGCGGGUGGGUAGCCUGCCCUUGCCUGUGGGGUGGCUUCAGGAGCGUGGGGCGAGUACCGGCUAGGAGCUCCUGCUGCCUGGUGUGGGUGGGGAAGUUUCGGCGGUGGGGGAUGGACUCGCGGCUUAUCCGCCUGUUGGUGGGGUAGUGGCGUACCAAGCCUUUGACGGGUAGCCGGCCUGAGAGGGUGACCGGCCACAUUGGGACUGAGAUACGGCCCAGACUCCUACGGGAGGCAGCAGUGGGGAAUAUUUCACAAUGGGCGGAAGCCUGAUGCAGCAACGCCGCGUGCGGGAUGACGGCCUUCGGGUUGUAACCCGCUUUCGCCUGUGACGAAGCGUGAGUGACGGUAAUGGGUAAAGAAGCACCGGCUAACUACGUG